rnacentral:rRNA from 1 species
GACGAACCGAGCGAACGUUGUUCGGAAUCACUGGGCUUAAAGGGCGCGUAGGCGGGUGCUCAAGUCCGGGGUGAAAUCCUCCAGCUCAACUGGAGAACUGCCUCGGAUACUGGGUGCCUCGAGGGUGGUAGGGGUAUGCGGAACUAUCGGUGGAGCGGUGAAAUGCGUUGAUAUCGAUAGGAACUCCGGUGGCGAAGGCGGCAUACUGGACCACAUCUGACGCUGAGGCACGAAAGCUAGGGGAGCAAACGGG